UGGGGUGACUGCGUACCUUUUGUAUAAUGGGUCAGCGACUUAUAUUCUGUAGCAAGGUUAACCGUAUAGGGGAGCCGUAGGGAAACCGAGUCUUAACUGGGCGAAUGAGUUGCAGGGUAUAGACCCGAAACCCGGUGAUCUAUCCAUGGGCAGGUUGAAGGUUGGGUAACACUAACUGGAGGACCGAACCGACUAAUGUUGAAAAAUUAGCGGAUGACUUGUGGAUGGGGGUGAAAGGCCAAUCAAACCGGGAGAUAGCUGGUUCUCCCCGAAAGCUAUUUAGGUAGCGCCUCGUGAACUCAUCUUCGGGGGUAGAGCACUGUUUCGACUAGGGGGUCAUCCCGACUUACCAACUCGAUGCAAACUGCGAAUACCGAAGAAUGUUAUCACGGGAGACACACGGCGGGUGCUAACGUCCGUCGUGAAGAGGGAAACAACCCAGACCGCCAGCUAAGGUCCCAAAGUCAUGGUUAAGUGGGAAACGAAGUGGGAAGGCUCAGACAGCCAGGAUGUUGGCUUAGAAGCAGCCAUCAUUUAAAGAAAGCGUAAUAGCUCACUGGUCGAGUCGGCCCGCGCGGAAGAUGUAACGGGGCUAAACCAUGCACCGAAGCUGCGGCAGCAAUACUAAGUGUUGUUGGGUAGGGGAGCGUUCUGUAAGCCUGCGAAGGUGUACUGUGAGGUAUGCUGGAGGUAUCAGAAGUGCGAAUGCUGACAUAAGUAACGAUAAUGCGGGUGAAAAACCCGCACGCCGGAAGACCAAGGGUUCCUGUCCAACGUUAAUCGGGGCAGGGUGAGUCGACCCCUAAGGCGAGGCUGAAAAGCGUAGUCGAUGGGAAACGGGUUAAUAUUCCCGUACUGGUGGUAACUGCGAUGGGGGAACGGAGAAGGCUAGGUUGUCCGGGCGACGGUCGUCCCGGUUCAAGCAUGUAGGCAGAGUGAUUAGGCAAAUCCGGUCACUUAAUGCUGAGGUGUGAUGACGAACCACUAAGGUGGUGAAGCAAUUGAUGCCCUGCUUCCAGGAAAAGCCUCUAAGCUUCAGGUUACCAACAAUCGUACCCCAAACCGACACAGGUGGUCAGGUAGAGAAUACUCAGGCGCUUGAGAGAACUCGGGUGAAGGAACUAGGCAAAAUGGUGCCGUAACUUCGGGAGAAGGCACGCUGGCGGUAAGUGAAGUCCCUUGCGGACGGAGCCGAAGCCAGUCGAAGAUACCAGCUGGCUGCAACUGUUUAUUAAAAACACAGCACUGUGCAAACACGAAAGUGGACGUAUACGGUGUGACGCCUGCCCGGUGCUGGAAGGUUAAUUGAUGGGGUUAUCCUUAGGGAGAAGCUCUUGAUCGAAGCCCCAGUAAACGGCGGCCGUAACUAUAACGGUCCUAAGGUAGCGAAAUUCCUUGUCGGGUAAGUUCCGACCUGCACGAAUGGCGUAAUGAUGGCCAGGCUGUCUCCACCCGAGACUCAGUGAAAUUGAACUCGCUGUGAAGAUGCAGUGUACCCGCGGCAAGACGGAAAGACCCCGUGAACCUUUACUAUAGCUUGACACUGAACAUUGAGCCUUGAUGUGUAGGAUAGGUGGGAGACUAUGAAGUGUGGACGCCAGUCUGCAUGGAGUCAACCUUGAAAUACCACCCUUUAACGUUUGAUGUUCUAACCUAGGUCCAUAAUCUGGAUCGGGGACCGUGUCUGGUGGGUAGUUUGACUGGGGCGGUCUCCUCCUAAAGAGUAACGGAGGAGCACGAAGGUUGGCUAAGCAUGGUCGGACAUCAUGCGGUUAGUGCAAAGGCAUAAGCCAGCUUGACUGUGAGAGUGACGGCUCGAGCAGGUACGAAAGUAGGUCUUAGUGAUCCGGUGGUUCUGAAUGGAAGGGCCAUCGCUCAACGGAUAAAAGGUACUCCGGGGAUAACAGGCUGAUACCGCCCAAGAGUUCAUAUCGACGGCGGUGUUUGGCACCUCGAUGUCGGCUCAUCACAUCCUGGGGCUGAAGUAGGUCCCAAGGGUAUGGCUGUUCGCCAUUUAAAGUGGUACGCGAGCUGGGUUUAGAACGUCGUGAGACAGUUCGGUCCCUAUCUGCCGUGGGCGUUGGAAGAUUGAGAGGGGUUGCUCCUAGUACGAGAGGACCGGAGUGAACGCACCACUGGUGUUCGGGUUGUCAUGCCAAUGGCAUUGCCCGGUAGCUAAGUGCGGAAGAGAUAACCGCUGAAAGCAUCUAAGCGGGAAACUUGCCUCGAGAUGAGUCUUCCCUGUCACCUAGAGUGACCUAAAGGAACGUUUAAGACUAAGACGUUGAUAGGCUGGGUGUGUAAGCGUAGCGAUACGUUGAGCUAACCAGUACUAAUGAACCGUGAGGCUUAACCUG
rnacentral:rRNA from 1 species